AGUCGAACGAUGACGGUGGUGCUUGCACCGCCUGAUUAGUGGCGAACGGGUGAGUAACACGUGAGUAACCUGCCCUCCACUUCGGGAUAACCUCGGGAAAUCGUGGCUAAUACCGGAUAUGAGCACUCAUCGCAUGGUGGGUGUUGGAAAGAUUUAUCGGUGGGGGAUGGACUCGCGGCCUAUCAGUUUGUUGGUGAGGUGAUGGCUCACCAAGACGAUGACGGGUAGCCGGCCUGAGAGGGCGACCGGCCACACUGGGACUGAGACACGGCCCAGACUCCUACGGGAGGCAGCAGUGGGGAAUAUUGCACAAUGGGCGAAAGCCUGAUGCAGCGACGCCGCGUGGGGGAUGACGGCCUUCGGGUUGUAAACCCCUUUCAGUAGGGAAGAAGCGAGAGUGACGGUACCUGCAGAAGAAGCGCCGGCUAACUACGUGCCAGCAGCCGCGGUAAUACGUAGGGCGCAAGCGUUGUCCGGAAUUAUUGGGCGUAAAGAGCUUGUAGGUGGCUUGUCGCGUCUGCCGUGAAAACCCGAGGCUCAACCUCGGGCGUGCGGUGGGUA
rnacentral:rRNA from 1 species